rnacentral:rRNA from 1 species
CCUACGGGUGGCUGCAGUGUGGAAUAUUGGUCAAUGGGCGAGAGUCUGAACCAGCCAAGCAGCGUGAAUGAUGACUGCCUUAUGGGUUUUAAACUUCUUUUUUAUGGGAAUAAAAGGUUCCGCGUGUGUGAUUAUGUAUCUACGGUAUGUAAAAGGAUCGGCGAACUUCGUGCCAGCAGACGCGGUAAGGCGAAGUAUGGGAGCGUUAUCCGGAUUUAUUGGGUUUAAAGGGAGCGUAGGUGGAGUGUUAAGUCAGUUGUGAAAGGUUGGGGCUCAACCGUAAUAUUGCAGUUGAAACUGGCAGUCUUGAGUGCAGUAGAGGUGAGUGGAAUUCGAGGUGUAGCGGUGAAAUGCUUAGAUAUAACGAAGAACACCAGUGGCGAAGGCAGCUCACUGGACUGUAACUGACACUGAGGCUCGAAAGUGUGGGUAUCAAACAGGAUUAGAUACCCCAGUAGUC